rnacentral:rRNA from 1 species
UACGAAGGGGGCUAGCGUUGCUCGGAAUUACUGGGCGUAAAGGGCGCGUAGGCGGAUAAUUAAGUCCGGUGUGAAAGAUCAGGGCUCAACCCUGAGAGUGCAUCGGAAACUGGUUAUCUUGAGGACAGGAGAGGAAAGUGGAAUUCCUAGUGUAGCGGUGAAAUGCGUAGAUAUUAGGAGGAACACCAGUGGCGAAGGCGACUACCCGGACUGAUACUGACACUGAGGUGCGAAAGCGUGGGGAGCAAACA